UUAAUGGAAGCCAAAAUUAGAGGCCUAUCACUGUUAAUGAUACCACUGAAAAACAAUUUUCUCAUUAAG
rnacentral:tRNA from 1 species